UAACUGAAGGGAGGACAUAUCAAAAGACACAGAGACUGCUCCACCCAACUAAAGGAGGAACUUCAGCUCAGGGCACCUGGCCAACUCUGACCCUAGGACUUGCAGGGGCCCACUUUUGAUAACUAGAACUGCUAGAAGCACUCCGGAUGAGUGACUUGGCAAGCAAUCAGUUGUAAGGAACCUCCACCUCAACAGACUUGACAUCCAUCUGCCUGGUGCCUGGGACCUACCAGACCACAGACUCCUCUCUGCUAUUUCUUCUUCUCACUCGAUGAAGACACAAAUGUGUGCGGUCACCUUCUUGAAAGAGGAUAUCUCUCCAGUACCCGUACAUGCACUCAUGGCAUCCAGCAAGAACCAGAUGCUGAACUCAGACUCCUUGCCUGCCAGUCACAUAUCACUAGCUUAGCAAAGUAUUUACCACCCAGGAAAUACUUGAUACAAAUACUUGACUGGACAAAUGAAGUAGAGCAAAAAAUCCAGGUGCAGGUCAUUCUCUAGCUGGCUGGCUGACCGAAGGAAGCCAUCAGAUGGACUCCAAGCCAACGAUGACCAAAGGGAUCUGAAAAUAACAGCAAUGUUCCUUCUGUUUUGGAAUUUGAAUGUCUGAUGUUGUCACUUCUACUGUGAACUGAAUUAUUAUCUGAGGAUUGUAAAUGCUGUGUACCAGAGCACCUAACUGUUACCGGAAUGCUAAAUUGGCUUUACUCAUAA